rnacentral:rRNA from 1 species
AUUGAACGCUGGCGGCAGGCCUAACACAUGCAAGUCGAGCGGUAGCACAGAGAGCUUGCUCUCGGGUGACGAGCGGCGGACGGGUGAGUAAUGUCUGGGAAACUGCCUGAUGGAGGGGGAUAACUACUGGAAACGGUAGCUAAUACCGCAUAACGUCGCAAGACCAAAGUGGGGGACCUUCGGGCCUCAUGCCACCAGAUGUGCCCAGAUGGGAUUAGCUAGUAGGUGGGGUAACGGCUCACCUAGGCGACGAUCCCUAGCUGGUCUGAGAGGAUGACCAGCCACACUGGAACUGAGACACGGUCCAGACUCCUACGGGAGGCAGCAGUGGGGAAUAUUGCACAAUGGGCGCAAGCCUGAUGCAGCCAUGCCGCGUGUGUGAAGAAGGCCUUCGGGUUGUAAAGCACUUUCAGCGGGGAGGAAGGCGAUAAGGUUAAUAACCUUGUCGAUUGACGUUACCCGCAGAAGAAGCACCGGCUAACUCCGUGCCAGCAGCCGCAGUAACAC